CAGUCGCCGCGGGAACACGUAGGUGGCAAGCGUUGUCCGGAAUUAUUGGGCGUAAAGGGCUCGCAGGCGGUUUCUUAAGUCUGACGUGAAAGCCCCCGGCUCAACCGGGGAGGGUCAUUGGAAACUGGGAAACUUGAGUGCAGAAGAGGAAAGUGGAAUUCCAUGUGUAGCGGUGAAAUGCGCAGAGAUAUGGAGGAACACCAGUGGCGAAGGCGACUUUCUGGUCUGUAACUGACGCUGAUGUGCGAAAGCGUGGGGAUCAAACAGGAUUAGAUACCCCCGUAGUCCCUGUCUCUUAACA
rnacentral:rRNA from 1 species